UACAGAGGGGGCAAGCGUUGUUCGGAAUUACUGGGCGUAAAGGGCGCGUAGGCGGCCUGUUAAGUCGAACGUGAAAUCCCGAGGCUCAACCUCGGGUCUGCAUCCGAUACUGCCCGGCUAGAGGUAGGUAGGGGAGAUCGGAAUUCCUGGUGUAGCGGUGAAAUGCGCAGAUAUCAGGAGGAACACCGGUGGCGAAGGCGGGUCUCUGGGCAAUAACUGACGCUGAGGAGCGAAAGCGUGGGAGCGAACAGG
rnacentral:rRNA from 1 species